rnacentral:tRNA from 1 species
GCAUGUGGCUCAGUGGUACAACAUCUACUUGGCAUGCACAAGGUCCCAGGUUCAAACCCUAGCGUCUCCA